AUGACAUUGGAGGUGAGCGAGGGCUAUGAGACAGAGACUGUGACGGGGUUAAUGGGAAAAUUAGGAGAGAGAGAGAUGAGAGAGCUGCUAGGGUGGUGCAUAAAGUACGGCAUUCGCCCUAAUGAGCGUGUCGUGGGUAUGAUGUCACCUGAGGCAGCUCUCCAUACUCGUCCUGAGGUGCGUGCUGGUUGUCUGGUAAAGACUGUGCCUGCGCCCAGAAACAGGCCUCCUCCAUGUCUUCCCAGCCCUGCACAUCCUGUACCUACGCCCAGAACCAAGCCUCCUGCAUGUCUUCCUAUCCUGGUCAAGCCCGUGCCUCCUCCACAGACCAGUCCUCCAGUGGGUCUCCCUAUCCUGGUCAAGCCCGUGCCUCCUCCACGGACCAGUACUCCAGUGGGUCUCUCUAUCCUGGUCAAGCCCGUGUCUCCUCCACGGACCAGUCCUCCAGUGGAUCUCCCUAUCCUGGUCAAGCCCGUGUCUCCUCCACGGACCGGUCCUCCAGUGGGUCUCUCCACCCUGGUCUCUCCUGUGCCACCUCCUCAAGCCAGGCCUCCGUUAUGUCUCCCCAGCCUGGUGAAUCCUGAGUCGGAGCUGCCCGCCAGUCAACAGUCGUCAGAGCUGCCCGCCAGUCAACAGUCGUCAGAGCUGCCCGCCAGUCAACAGUCGUCAGAGCUGCCCGCCAGUCAACAGUCGCCAGAGAGGUCAGACUGCCCUGAACUGCCGGAGUGGCCAGACUGCCCUGAACUGCCGGAGUGGCCAGACUGCCCUGAACUGCCGGAGUGGCCAGACUGCCCUGAACUGCCGGAGUGGCCGGACUGCCAUGAACUGCCAGAGUGGCCGGACUGCCCUGAACUGCCAGAGUGGCCGGACUGCCCUGAACUGCCAGAGUGGCCGGACUGCCCUGAACUGCCAGAGUGGCCGGACUGCCCUGUUCUGCCAGAGUGGCCGGACUGCCCUGUUCUGCCGGAGUGGCCGGACUGCCCUGUUCUGCCGGAGUGGCCGGACUGCCCUGUUCUGCCGGAGUGGCCGGACUGCCCUGUUCUGCCGGAGUGGCCGGACUGCCCUGUUCUGCCGGAGUGGCCGGACUGCCCUGUUCUGCCAGAGGUGCCCGCCUGCCCUGAUCUGCCAGGGUGCCCGGCCUGUCAGGAUCAGCCCGAGUGGUCCUCCUGCCCUCCGGUCCAGCCCGAGUGGUCCUCCUGCCCUCCGGCCCAGCCCGAGUGGUCCUCCUGCCUUCCGGCCCAGCCCGAGUGGCCCGCAUGCCUUCCGGCCCAGCCCGAGUGGCCCGCAUGCCUUCCGGCCCAGCCCGAGUGGCCCGCAUGCCUUCCGGCCCAGCCCGAGUGGCCCGCAUGCCUUCCGGCCCAGCCCGAGUGGCCCGCAUGCCUUCCGGCCCAGCCCGAGUGGCCCGCAUGCCUUCCGGCCCAGCCCGAGUGGUCCGCCCAGGGUCAGCCCNNNNNNNNNNNNNNNNNNNNCCUUCCCUCCCUUAUUGUUUAG
rnacentral:lncRNA from 8 species